AAAGGAAACUAAAAACAAUUCUAACUUUUUAAUAUAAUAUAAUGAACUAAAAAAAUUAAACUAAAGAUAUUAAAACCUUUCAAUAUAAUAUGAUGAAUUAAAAACUAAACAAAAAAAAUCAUACCUUUCAAUAUAUAUAUAUAUAUAUAUAUAUAUAAUUAAUCAAAACCAAACUAAAAAAUAAUAACUUUUCAAACAUAUAUAAUUAAUAAAAACCAAACUAAAAAAAAUCAACUUACCUUCCCAUUGUUGCGUGUGUGAAUCUUUUCUCCCUCAUGGUGUAUUGAAAGUGACAACCGCUUUUCUUAAGUCCAAUGUGCGGCUACAACCACCAUCUUAUGGUACGUCCUAUGGAUAUCUUUUCAACUGUGUAUGGCAGCCUUUAUGUGAUCGUGUGUGGAGAAUUCUCUCCAAUGGAGUCCCAUGCUGCUGCUUCUUGUGGGAGAUGCCACCCAAACUGUGGUGUGGUUGCCUCUUCUGUGCAUGCCUCUUGCAACCAUGAUUGGUGGACUCCAGCUUCUCCAAUGGUGUGUUGUGAUGCUUCCUGAAUUGAUAGUCCAUUUCCUUGGUGUGUGAUGCUAAGAGGGAUCUCUCAUGAUGCAAACUGUGCGGUCGUGAGGGUGGCUGUGAAGAAACUUGAAUUCGCAUGUAAGAGAAGGCCCCUCUUAUAGUGCGUUAUUCACCCUCUCAAGGAGUCUCAUGAUCGAUUGUCUCCCUUUUCAAGCUGCUGCGUGUCGGUGCUUCUCUAUGGAGAAUGACGUCUAUAUGAGGACUUAUGCAACCCCUCCCGUAGUGGACUAUGUGUAGGCUUUUUCUUUCUGAGUUGCCCUUGGGUAUUGUUCUUGAAGAGGAUAUAACUUCUCCCCAAAGCCCAAUGGAUAAGUUAUCCUCGAGAUUUUUGGUGUUGCUACCCCCCCAUUCUUCUCCAAAACGUAGCGAUCCCUCUUUCCAAAAAAUGCUUAACCUUCCUUAUCUAUGGCUUAACCCUCGAAAUUCCGCCAAAAUGUGCUCAGAAUCCUCCAGAAUGUGAACCCAACUCCUUCCCAAAACAUGCUCCAAAAGUUCUCCCUUUGACCAACCAUCGUUCCAUCUAAAAAACAUAUCGAAUCUUUCCCCCAAAAUGAACUUGAUUUUUCUUUCCAGAACAUUGCUCCAUACUUAAAAAAAAAAAACAAAAAAUCUUGUGAAUAUCUUCCUUCAAUAUGGAUGGGGUACUCAAAAUCCCAUGCAAAACAAACCAAAAAAGAAUGAGGGUUAGAAUCAAUAAAAAUCACGAAAUUGAAAAUUAAAAAUAUUAAAAUUAUGCGAUUAAAAAAAUUAAAAGUCAAUCACAUGCAAUUUUGAGAAGAAUGGAAUAUUAUUUCAUUCAACUUAAAGAGACUUAAAAUCAUUAACCACAAACAAUUUCCUAAAAUAAAUAAAUAAAUAAUAAACAAAAAAAAAACAAGAACAUGCAAUCCUGCAAGAAUUACCUAAAAAAUGACCUAAAUGUACUUAAGGUGGGGUUUGAGUGAACCUAAGUGGGUCUAAGUAAAUCUAAGUGGCUUAGAGGAACACCUAAGUGGGCUUGAGUGAACCUGAGUGGGCUAGGUGUGCCUAGGUAGGCAUAGGUGGGCUAGGUGUCCCUAGGUGGGCCUAGAUGAACCAAAAUAGGACUAUGUGAACUAGAGUAGGCCUAGGUGAACCUAAGUGGGUAUAGAUUAAUCGAAAUGAGUCAAGGUGAGCCUAAGUGGGCCUAAGGGAGCUUUGAUGAGCCUAGGGUGGUGCCUGAUGGAUUAGGUGUGCCUAAAUAAACCUAAGUGAGCUUGAAAGAUGCCUGAGUGACCUAGGGUGAUCAAAAAAGUGCCUAAGUGACCUAAAAGUGUACCUAAAUGAGCUAUUCUAAAAAGAUAAAAGGAAAAUCCUAUAUCUAACUUAGAGUUGCCAAGGAUCAUAAUGAGAGGUUAGAUAAAUCCCUCGACCAGAGUCUUUAUGGUGUUUCAAAAAGAUAAGUUGUAUCAAUGGGCCACAAAGGAACUAUUAUGGAGUAUUAAAAGAGCACUAAGGAAUGUCGUUAGGGGACAAAAUCAAGGGUCUAUAAUAAUAUAAACAAAGCAACCAAACUAAUAAUCUUUGAAAAUUAAACUAAAUAUGUGAUCAAUUGAACAACCAAACUAAUGAUUUUAAAAGAAACUAAACUAAGCACAAUAAGAAAGAAACCAAACUAAUAUUUUUUUAAAAACUAAACUAAAUAUUAAAUUAACAGAAUGGCCAAACUAAUGAUUUUUAAAAGAAUUAAACCAAGCAUAAAAUUAACAAAGCAACAAAACUAGUAAUGCUUAAAAACUGCAUUAAACAUGAGAUCAACAUAAUAACCAAACAAAUGAUUUUUAAAAGAAAUUAACCGAAGUAUGAUAUCAACAAAGCAACCAAACUAAUAAUUUUUGAAACCUAGACUAAAUAUGAGAUCAACUGAAUAACUAAACUAAUAAUUUUUAAGAGAAUUAAACCAAGCAUAAUAUCAACAAAGCAAUCAAACUAAUAAUUUUUGAAACCUAGACUAAAUAUGAGAUCAACAAUAACUAAACUAAUGAUUUUUAAGAGAAUUAAACUAAGCAUAAUAUCAACAAAGCAACCAAACCAAUAAUUUUUGAAACCUAAACUAAAUAUGAGAUCAAUUGAAUAACUAAACUAAUGGUUUUUAAAAGAAACUAAACUAAACAUAAUAUCAACAAAGUAACAAAACUAAUAAUUUUUAAAAACUAGACCAAACAUAAGAUAAAAAAAAUAACCAAACUAAUGAUUUUUUUUAUUUAAAAAAACUAAAUUAACCGUAAUAUCAACAAACAAACCAAACAAAUAUAUUUUCAAAACUAAACUAACCAUGAGAUUAAAAGAAUAACCAAACUAAUGAUUUUUAAAAAUAAAUAAACUAAGCAUAGCAUUAACAAAGCAACCAAAUUAAUAAUUUUUUAAAAACUAAGCUAAACAUAUGAUUAAUGGAAAAACCACAACUAAUGAUUUUUAAAAGAAACUAAACCAAGUAUAAAAUCAACAAUGCAACCAAACUAACAAUUUUUAUAAACUAAACUAAGCAUGAGAUCAAAAGAAUAACCAAACUAAUGUGUGGACCCCGCAUUUCGGCUCAUGCGCUUCCACUCGAUGGUGAGCUUGAUUUUUAUUUGAAAAAUGAUUUAUUGAUUAUGAAAAUGACUUGGAGUCGCCAAUUAUUUUUGUUUUAUUUUUAAAAGGGUAAACAAAAUAAGAAAGAAAAGCCUAAGUGUGACUCCUUAUUUGGAAAAUGUGGUCUAUGAAAAACCGUAUCGGGUUUGGGGGUCAGGUUACUUAUCGGGAAGGUACGGUAAAGACUGUAGCACCCCUCUAAGUCCCUAAAGUCGGGUCUCUACUAAUAAAAUGAAGUUGACGUGACAAUCAAUAAGAAAAUCAAUGGAUACUAAAAAAAACGAUCAUGCACGUGUGAGAAUCAAUACAUGCAUAUAGAAUGACCAGAGUGAGAAUGGGUGCUACCUGCGCAAUGAGCCAUUAUGCGCUAUCAAGAGAGGGGGUUAGUGCACAAUUAAGGAAUAAUCUCAUGCAUGUCAUAGAGUAGAAUAAAUCAAACAAAUAUAGCAAUCUACCAGUCAAUCAGUCAAUCAUAAAAUCACAUAUGUUGGACCCCCACCAAAGCCCAUUUUAUAUUGUAUGAGUCAAUCCCAUAAAUUCCAUUAUUUGAAAUUACAGGAAUAAAUUCAUACUUAUUUUAUAACAUUUUAAAAGACCAAGAAAGAUUUGAAAAUUGCUUGCCGAAUAGAAAGUGGAAGCAAAUUUUAUGAAAAAGGGAUUUUAUUGACUUUAAGAUUAUUAAGAAAAAAAAGGGAAAUAAAAAGUAAAAAAUAAAAUAAAAUAAAAUAAAAUGAUAAAAUAAAAUAAUAAAAUGAAAUAAUAAAAUGAAAUAAUAAAAGAGAAUAAAAUAAUGAAAAGGUUAAGGAGCAAAAGAAAACUACUUGAAAAUCAUAUUUUUGAAAAUCAAUUUUUGGAAGCGAAGAUGGAGAACUUGAGAAAUGAAACAUCCACUUGUUUCCAUUCUUAUCCUCAUAUGUUAGCAUAUAUUUAGAACCAUGAAGAAUAUCCAUUAAGUGACUCUCAGUCGGCCCAUCGCGCCAUAGAAGUCCAUGAGAACCACACUGCCCAAUUGGAAAGCAGUUGAACAUCUUCUCCAGAGCCGAUGAGAGUUCCACAUAAUUGCAAUAGGUUUUGAGGCCGACCUUCCUCAAGUAUGGAGCACCAUUCGUGCUAACUUUAACGUAGAGGCAACCCAAUCACGAUUUGUCUUCAGCAUUUUGAAGCAAAUGAACAAAGAGGACCAAUUAUGUUUGCCUCAAUUACAGCCUGAAUCUGCUCCUUGUUGCUAGCUGUGAUAUUUGAAAUAGUCCAACAAGCUUCCUUCUUGAUGCUCUUCUUAUGGUUAUUGGUCAACGGGUUCAGAGGCAAAGAAGUGCCUGAUGGUUGAUUAUGCACUGGGUUUGCAUAUCAUCUCCAGUGACAAUGUUUCCAGCCAUGCGAAGUGCAGGAAUGAGAACAGAAGGAGAUGAGUAAAGUAAAAGCUCAACAACCCAAGGACAUACACCCGCUUCAAUAACAGCUUGAACUUUGUCAUUUGUACCAUCAGAAAGGUAAGACAGUGCCCAACAUGCAUCAGUUAGCACAUCUUCAUCAUUCGAGUGAAUAAGACGCCCAAAAGCUGGAAGAGCAGGCUUUGUCUAAUCAAAAGGAGGUUGUGGCUUGCCCCUAUUGCACUCCAUAAAAUCUGUUAACUCUUAGAAAAAAAAUACAAAAGGUAAUCUCUGUUUGAACUGAUAGAAGGGGGCCAUUUAUCCAUGGCAACUUCAGCGAGGUUCAGAUGUUAUAAUCCUUUGUCCAAUCUUCAACUGCUGCAUCAACCACUGUAGUCCUCGUCUGAAGCAUCACUGUCUUCAUCAUCCCUGCGUCGUAUUUAUGCAAUAUCUGCCUGAAUUCUCUCUAGCAUCUCCUUCCUACGCAACUCUAACUCUAUGAAAUCCAUCCUCAAUGCUCUUUUCAAUAAUGCAGAUCUUAAUCUUUCUUUAAACAGCAUUCUGCAGCAUAAGAUCAGUUACUUCACCUUAAGCUUUUGGGUCUUAUGCAUGAUAAUGGGAAGCCUUUGGCUGUUGGUGCUUGGAUCAUUAUAUGCAGUAGAAUCAGAAGGAUAUCCUUUUGCAGAUAAAGCUUGGAAUGUAGCUUCUCUCCAGCAGCUUUCCGAAGAAUGAUGGGGUUUGCAUCAUCCUUAAAAAUGCAAUGCAUGCGAGUGUCCCUCAAUCUCAUAAGCACUCCAUCGACUCUAAACCAGAAACGCAAGAAAAGAAACCAACCAGUUGGCAGGACCCUCACUUUCACAGUUAAAAGUGACACUCCACUAUCAGCCAAUUCAUCUUCAUAUAAGAUUACCUCAUCAUAAAAAAGAAUAGGCUCUUUUGAUGCUAGUGAAGCCACAUCAAUUUUUUUUUAUUGCAUUCCUCCCAACAAAGAGUGUAGGCCCCCAGUGAUUCUUCCCCUCUUCCAUGCUUCUCUUGUUCUAUCUCGAUCCCCUGCCACACUACAGCUCUCUCGUUUUUAGCUCCUCACUUCCACCCUUCAAUGUAAAGCCAUUCAAAUGUUGAAGACGCUGAGAUCAGGAAUAAGCUUGCAUGCGGGCUUAGCAAUAACCUGAUUUCUUCUUCAGUAAAUGAAACUAACAACAGUAACCUUUAAGGGAUUGGCAAUGAGCAUCAUAUCCCAAUGUCCCAAACUUUGAGCCAAUCACGUGAGCUAGUGCACAGAUUGUAUGCAUCGUUUCCUCAUGCGUUGUAGGGUCACAACGAGCAAAAAUCUUAAGGAAUAGAAUUAUAUCCUGAUCUGCGAUUCAGAAUAUAAUGGGAUUGAGUGGUUGAACGUAUGAGUGAGGGUAUUCAAAUUCAAUGGGUAUGAAAGAUGAGUUCUGGGGGAUAUAAAGGGUGUGAUUGAAUGGAUGAUGGAGGGUAAUGAUGAGUGCAAGGUUAUAGGUAUGAGAGAAUAUGGGUAUGUGCAUGGAGGAGCAUGAGGAUAGAUAUGUUGGAGCAGGAAUGGUGGGAGUAUUAUUGGUAGGACGGGUGGUGAAAAUGUAGUGAGAAAAGUGGUUUGAUGGGUAUUAAAAAAAUAGAAAUACGGAUGGUGAUGGAUAUGAAGAGGCAUGAUGAGUUCAUUAGAAUGGGCAGAAUGGUGAAACGAGUUGUCGGCUGUGGGAUGACAGAUGGGGAGUUAUUAGGUUGGCUUAGUGAUGGGUAUGUGAGUUUGGGAAGAUGAUAAAGGUGUAGAGAACAUUGAGGGUGAAUAUGCAUAGGGUUCAGUGGGUGUGAAGCGAUGGGUUUGAUGGAUGGAGGAAAUGGGCGUCAUGGGUAGAAUAGAUAGUGGGAAGGGUGGAAUAAUGGAUAUUUGAAGAAUGGGAAUGUGGGUGAAGAAGUGGGCAGUGAAAAAUGGGUAUGAGAUUGGUGGAAUAAAGGAUGGGUUUAAUAGAUAUGUGGUGGAGUUGUGAGCAUGAAGGAUAGAGGAGGAUGUAGGGAAUUAAACCGAAUUCCCAACCCGUGAGAAACAAAAAUUAGAGAAAACACACGCCAAAGAAAAACAAUCACACACACAAGACAGUAUUUACGUGGUUCGGCAAUUUUCCUACGUCCACGGAGUUGCAGGGAUAUCACUAAUAUCAGGGAAGAAUACAGAGUACAACUUGGCGACUACAAUAUUCUCUAUAUAUAUAUAGCACGACAACCCUACCAUACUAAAAAACCCUAAUUACAAAAAGUGGUUCCACAAUGGGCUAAACGGGCCCAACAGGUCUCAAUAAAUCUCCCAUUAAAAAGGUCAUGCAAUAUUAUUCGGGUCGGGUCCUCAAACCGGAUCAAACAAAACUAGGCUCCACAAAGCCCAACAAAUCUCCCACUUGGAGACUAGUCCAAUCACCAACAUCAAACCGCUAUCCUCCAAGAAACGAUCCCUCAUCCCUACAACUCAUCCUCCUGUCCUCAAGCUAGAAGACCAAUUGAAGCUGCGCACAGCUUCAACUUCUCAAUAGUGACACCCUUAGUCAACAUGUCUGCAGGGUUCUUAGAUCACAAAUCUUCUCAAGUAUUACCAGUUUAUCCUCAACAAGAUAACGGAUAAAGUGGUAUUUUGUUUGUAUAUGUUUUGACUUUGAAUGAAAAGCCGAAUUUUUGGCAAGAAAAAUUGCACUCUGACUGUCACUGUGUAGAAUGCCCAUCUCCUGCUUCUUACCCAAUUCAUCUAAGAAACCAUGUAGCCAAAUCAUCUCCUUUCCAACUUCAGUUGCUGCAACAUACUCAGCUUCUGUAGUAGACAAAGUAACAAUCUUCUGUAGAUUUGAAGUCCAUGAUAUAGCUGUACCACCUAGAGUAAAAACAAACCCAGUAGUACUCUUUCUACUAUCAAUAUCACCAGCAAAAUCAGCAUCUACAUAACCCUGCAAUUUCAAACUUGCACCUGUGAAGCAAAGACAUGUAUCUAAUGAACCCUUCAGAUAUCUUAAAAUCCACUUGACUGCUUCCCAAUGCUGCUUUCCAGGCCUACUCAUGAAUCUGCUCACAACUCCCACUGCAUGUGCAAUGUCUGGCCUUGUACACACCAUAGCAUACAUCAAGCUGCCAAUAGCUGAGGCAUAGGGCACCUUGCUCAUAUGGUCCCUUUCUUCUUCUGUCUUCGGUGACUGUUCUUUGCUUAGUUUGAAAUGACUACCCAAGGGUGUGCUCACUGGUUUAGCUUCAUUCAUGUUGAACCUGCUGAGAACUUUCUUCACAUACUCUGACUGUGAAAGUUUCAAUGUACCAUUAGCCUUGUCUCUAAUGAUUCUCAUACUAAGGAUUUGCUUUGCAGCUCCCAAAUCCUUCAUUGCAAACUGUUUGGACAAUUGCUUCUUCAGAUUAUUAAUCUUCUCAAUGUCAGACCCUGCAAUAAGCAUAUCAUCCACAUACAACAGUAAUAUGAUGUAAGAAUUGUCAAAGGACUUAACAUAGCAACAAUGAUCAGUUUCACAUUUCUUGAACCCAAUUCUAUGCAUAAAAUUGUCAAACUUCUUGUACCACUGUCUAGGAGCUUGUUUAAGGCCAUACAAGCUCUUUCUCAGUUUGCAGACUAUAUUCUCUUGUCCUUGAACAAUGAACCCUUCUAACUGAAUCAUGUAAAGGUCUUCCUCCAAGUCACCAUGAAGGAAUGCUGUCUUCACAUCUAACUGCUCAAGAUGUAAGUUUUCUAUAGCCACCAUUCCAAGUACAAGUCUAAUUGUUGACAUCUUCACAACUGGAGAAAAUAUCUCUGUGUAGUCAAUGCCCUCCUUCUGUUGGAACCCUUUAACCACUAAUCUGGCCUUGUAACGUUUGCUACCAUCAUGCUCAUUCUUUAUUCUGUAUACCCACUUGUUGUGCAAAGCCUUCUUUCCUACUGGCAAUUCAGUCAGUUCCCAUGUCUGAUUCGCCAGCAGGGAAUCCAUCUCAUCCUUCAUGGCUAACUCCCACUUGCUUGAAUUCUCAUCUUGCAAGGCUUCAUUAUAACACUCUGGCUCACUACCAUCAAUCAACAGGAGAUAAUUUAAAACAGGUGAAUAACGCUGUGGAGGUCUAAUGUUCCUGGAAGAUCUGCAAACUUCAACUACAGGUGUCCUCAAAUCUACCUUUGAAUUUACAUUCUCCUUAUCUUCUUCACCCCCUUUUUGGACAGUACUUUCAAUCAAUUCAUCUAAGUUGACAAACUCAGAUUUCUUUUGAUCUAUCUCUGUAACAUCUGACGUUACAGUUAACCUGUCCUUGUACAUAACCUGUUCAUUAAAUAUCACAUUUCUACUUCUGAUAAUUUUCCUGUUUUGUUCAUCCCAAAACCUAUAGCCAAAUUUCUCAUCACCAUAGCAGAUGAAAAAACAUAUUUUUGACUUUGCAUCAAGUUUACUACGAGCAUCAGAAUCAAUAUGAACAUAAGAAACACAACCAGAAACUUUUAAAUGUGAAAACUUCACCUCUUUACCGCUCCAAACCUCCUCAGGAAGUCUGAACUCCAUGGGAACUGAUGGUCCUUAGUUUAUCAGGUAAGCAGCAGUGCUAACAGCAUCAGCCCAAAAAGUUUUUGGUAGUCCAGCAUGCAACCUCAUACUUCUAGCACGCUCGUUGAGAGUUUUGUUCAUGCGCUCAGCCAUACCAUUCUACUGUGGUGUCCCAGGAAUGGUCUUCUCCAUCCUAAUUCCCUGUGCAGCACAAUACUCACUAAAUCCUCCAUCUAUGUACUCUCCUCCAUUAUCUGACCUCAAACAUUUUACUUUCAAACUUGUUUCUGUCUCAACCAUGGCCUUCCACUUCUUAAAAGUUACAAAUACAUCAGAUUUAUUUUUCAGAAAAUAAACCCAUACCUUUCUACUUGAGUCAUCAAUAAAGGUGAUGUAGUACCUUGAAUCUCCUAGGGAUGCAACCGGAGAAGGCCCCCACAAAUCAGUGUGUACAAGUUCCAAUUUUUCAGCCUUCGGUGUCCUGCCAGUUUUCAAGAAGCUCAUCUUUUUUUGCUUUCCUAAGAUGCAACUUUCACACAUGUCAAAAUCAAUGGACUUCAAUUCUGGUAGUUUUCCUUUUGACAGCAACAUCUUCAUCCCUUUCUCACUCAUGUGACCAAGUCUGCGGUGCCAUAGGCUUGUAUCAGUACUUGCAUCAGCAACUGCAAUUGUGUCUCUUGGACAUGAGGUCAUAUACAGAGUGCCAGUCUUCUUUCCACGAGCCAAUACCCUAGCUCCCUUUGUAACCUUCCAAGUACCACCAACAAAUAGUAUUGCAUGUCCUUCAUCAUCAAGUUGUCCAACAGAAAUCAGAUUCCUCCUCGGGUCAGGAAUAUGUCGAACCUUCUCCAGUAACCAAACAGACCCAUUGGGCAACAAUAUCCGGACAUCUCCUAGACCCACAACAUCCAAGGCUGAACCAUCAGCCAAAUAUACCUUACCAAAAUCACCUGCAACAUAAUUCUGUAUGAUUUCUCGGUGUGGAGUGUUAUGAAACGAAGCUCCUGAAUCCAAAACCCAAUCAUCAAGUGGACUGUCUACUGCAAGAAGUAAUGCAUCCUGUACCUCAUCUGUUACAGCAUUAGCAGAAUCAUCUUCAUUCUUCUUCUUAGGGCUUUUGCAUUGCCUUUUAAAGUGAUCUGUUUUCCCACAAUUCCAGCAUUGUACUUGUUGGCCUGAUCUAGAUUUGCUUCUGUUCCGAUUAGAAUUUUUGGAAUUUGAUCUACCCUGAUUUGAAUUUCUGUUAUUACCUCUACCUCUUGUCUCAAGGUUUAGGGCAGAACCAAAUCCUGAGGUUUCACCUGCAUCUCUUCGGCGAAUCUCCUCAGCCAGAAUUAAAUCUUGUAUAUCAUUGUACUUGAGUUUUUCCUUUCCCGUAGAAUUGCUUACUGCCAUCCUCAUUGCCUCCCAACUGUUUGGCAAAGAAGCCAAGACGAUCAGAGCACGAAUCUCAUCAUCAAAAUCAAUUUCUAUAGACGACAAUUGAUUUGUGAUUGUAUUAAAUUCAUUCAGAUGUUGUGCUACUGAUGCAUUCUCUGCCAUCUUCAAAUUGAACAAUUUCUUCAUCAGAUGCACCUUAUUGUUUGCGGACGGCUUUUCAUACAUACCGGACAAAGCCUUCAUCAGAUCUGCUGUGGUCUUCUCCUUUACAACAUUGUGUGCAACAGACCUAGACAGAGUUAACCUAAUAACUCCUAGAACCUGUCUGUCAAGAAGCGCCCAUUCCUCAGCCUUCAUACUCUCAGGUUUUGUCCCCAAAAGAGGCAGAUGUAAUUUCCUCCCAUAGAGAUAAUCUUCAAUCUGCAUCCUCCAAUACGCAAAGUCUGUGCCAUCAAACUUUUCUAUUCCAGACGCCUUUCCUGCUUCCUCUGCCAUUGCUCCCACUCAAACCUAACCCUAGGCUCUGAUACCAGUUGUAGGGAAUUAAACCGAAUUCCCAACCCGUUAGAAACAAAAAUUAGAGAAAACACACACCAAAGAAAAACAAUCACACACACAAGACAGUAUUUACGUGGUUCGGCAAUUUUCCUACGUCCACGGAGUUGCAGGGAUAUCACUAUUAUCAGGGAAGAAUACAGAGUACAACUUGGCGGCUACAAUAUUCUCUAUAUAUAUAUAGCACGGCAACCCUACCAUACUAAAAAACCCUAAUUACAAAAGGUGGUUCCACAAUGGGCUAAACGGGCCCAACAGGCCUCAAUAAAUCUCCCAUUAAAAAGGCCAUGCAAUAUUAUUCGGGUCGGGUCGUCAAACCGGAUCAAACAAAACUAGGCUCCACAAAGCCCAAUAGAGGAUGCAGGCACUGCCUUGUUUAACCUGUCACUCAACCAAUCCAAUAAGUCGCGAGCCAUCAAGGCAGGUAUCAUACCAACAUUACUUCAUCUGCUCGAGGAUAAAAACCUAGGAGUGAUCGAUGAAGCUCUCUCAAUUUUAUUGCCUUUAGUAUCACAUCUUGAAGGUCGGACUGAAGUUGGAAGGUUAUCGUUCAUUGUAACUCUGGUUGAAAUCAUGAAAGAUGGGACCCUGAAGGACAAGGAGUGUGCCACAUCAGUUCUCCGUGAGCUAGGUUUGAACAAUUCAUCUUUCAUUUUGGCUGCACUGCAGAAAUGAGCUCAUGAUGCAUGUGUGCAUCCAUUUUGGGAUUCAGUAGUUUAUUCUGAAUUAAGCUCAUCAAGUUAUCUCCUUAAGCUUUGGUACAUUUCUGAUGUAUCAGGUUUCAUUAAGAAUUCCAAGUACCCCCCAACAUUUUCAAGUGCCCAUCACCAUCCCCUCUCAAGAUGUUGCCCCCAAAUAGAAGAAGCACUGAAUCAGACACAGCUGUUGAAUCUCGGAGAAAACAGAGUUUACUUUUAUCUUCUCAUUGAAAACUAGCCAUGGAUAUGGAAUUUUACAUUCUCGAGCAUUGACUAAAUUCGAAUGCCAGAGCACUUGACCAUCCUCCAUUGUUUUCAAUAAGAAUGACUUUCCAUUUUGCAUAACAGAGCAAAUUCCAGGAUACAGGCCACAACAAAUAACUACUCGAAUGAGAUGCUCAUCAUAGCUCCAUGCAUUGUAGGUGGCCAUGUUGCUAUCGACAAGAAUGUGUAGUUCAUUAUCCCCUACAUGAGAAUUUACAACUGAUCUCAGGUCAUUGAUCAGCCUCUGAUAUUCAUCAAGCCAGCGAGCAUAACCCAUGUCAAAUGCUAAAGCCUCAUUUCUGCCCAUGGAAUGACUCUGAUCCCCAGAAAAUCCAAUCGCAAUAAAAACACCCUGUUGGCGUGCUCGUUGAAGCUCUUACUCUAAUUGUGUAAGCUUAGGUUAGCUACACUCCAGCUGCUGGACAUAUGCCUAUCCAGAACCAAAACUUUCUUCCUCAGCCGACUCUUCCUUGCAGCCUCUCGAUUCUGAGCUAGCCUACGAAGUGUCUUCUGGUCUCAAGCUUUAGAAGCUAUGCCCAUAUGAAACCAAAGGCUCAUGCUGGACCAAAACCCUUCUCCUUGAGGGUAUGAAUGGCCAUCGAAAACAGAGUAUAAACAGCAAGAGAGCAAUAAAAAAAACAGAGUAUCAACUGAACCAAAGAAAACACCGACCCGAGCUCCAUUUCAUAUUGGAGUCAAUAGGCCCAUGUAUAAGUGGGAAAAUCAGUGGAAAUAGGACCCAAAGAUAUGACUCAGACACCCAAUGGAGAGAUAAAAAGGAAUCGGAUCACUCUUAAAUAAAUUUUAUAUGAAGAACAAGGCACAGAUUAUUUAUAACAUAAUCACAACAAUAUCAAGAAAAUCAAUUGCAAUAAGUAUGUGGUCCAGAAAACGCACUUGAAAGGCUCCCCUCUAGCUAAAAUGAGCAAGGAGACUGUUGAGUUUAUCCUUUCCUGUAACUAGUAGCCUCGCCAGAAAGAGCUCCCCUCCCUCCGGUAGCUUUCCCUCCAAACCAAACAAAAACCUCUCUGUAACCCUCUACAAAAUACGCUCCCCUACACUCAUGGUUCAAAACUCCUUCAAAAAAAAAAAAAAAAAAUCUUCUUCUGUAAAAACUCAAUCUCCUCUUCUUUGGCUAACCUUGCUUCCUUUCUUCUCUCAAGCUUCCCAGCACCCAAAACAUAUCUCUCUCUCUGCCCUUCUGAAAAGCACCUCUCU
rnacentral:lncRNA from 1 species